AAUAUCAAAGGUGAGCCAGUACAGGAUGGACCCGCGUCUGAUUAGCUAGUUGGUAAGGUAACGGCUUACCAAGGCGACGAUCAGUAGCCGACCUGAGAGGGUGACCGGCCACAUUGGAACUGAGACACGGUCCAAACUCCUACGGGAGGCAGCAGUGGGGAAUAUUGCACAAUGGGCGAAAGCCUGAUGCAGCAACGCCGCGUGAGUGAUGAAGGCCUUCGGGUCGUAAAAC
rnacentral:rRNA from 1 species